CUAACAGACGAUCAUUAAAUUUGGUUGCCAGCUUCAACCUAAUUCUUGAUUUAGAACUAUAAUUUUGAACAUUUCCGUGUUGAAUAAAAUACUAUUUAUUCUUAACUGUAUUUUUUUUGAGGCUUCAGUUAUCAAAUGUUGGUGGUAAUUUUAGUUAUGCCACUGUGAAAACGUCGAUUGUUAAGUAGAAAUAAAAAGUUUGAAGUAUGCACAAAGCCUGAAAGUGUCAAAUAUGGAACCUAAAAAAACCUGCCUCUGCCACUAACUGUAUAAUGGUUUUUUAAGGUCUGUUUGUCAAGCGUCAAGUCAGGUUAUCUUGCUUCUGGUACCAUGUAGUACAUCCUGCUUAAGCAGGUUGUACGCCAUCCAUACGACGUUUGGGCAUCUGUUUGUAAAAUAUUGCUGCAAAUCUUUUUGAGAGAGCCAUUACUAUGGAGAACCAUCUAAACCAUACAAGUGUGGAAACAUGGAUAUUAAUGUGAAAUAAACUGAUGAGUUUAUUU
rnacentral:lncRNA from 1 species